rnacentral:rRNA from 1 species
ACCACCAGCCAUCCCACCUGCAGUUCAGACUCUGUAAUCUGCCUGAUGCUAAGUGGGUUUGGGCCUGGCCGGUACUUGGAUGAGUGACUGCCUAGUAAAGCUGGGCUGCUGCUGGAA